rnacentral:rRNA from 1 species
GAUGAACGCUGGCGGCGUGCCUAAUACAUGCAAGUCGAGCGAACAGACGAGGAGCUUGCUCCUCUGACGUUAGCGGCGGACGGGUGAGUAACACGUGGAUAACCUACCUAUAAGACUGGGAUAACUUCGGGAAACCGGAGCUAAUACCGGAUAACAUGUUGAACCGCAUGGUUCAACAGUGAAAGACGGUUUUGCUGUCACUUAUCGAUGGAUCCGCGCCGCAUUAGCUAGUUGGUAAGGUAACGGCUUACCAAGGCAACGAUGCGUAGCCGACCUGAGAGGGUGAUCGGCCACACUGGAACUGAGACACGGUCCAGACUCCUACGGGAGGCAGCAGUAGGGAAUCUUCCGCAAUGGGCGAAAGCCUGACGGAGCAACGCCGCGUGAGUGAAGAAGGUCUUCGGAUCGUAAAACUCUGUUAUUAGGGAAGAACAAAUGUGUAAGUAACUAUGCACGUCUUGACGGUACCUAAUCAGAAAGCCACGGCUAACUACGUG